CUCGUUCAAACCCUUAUGACAUCAAAAGUGGUCAUUACAAGAAAAAGGGCAAAAGUAGAUUUGGUACAGUGUGAGCUUUGUGGUUGUUGGUCGUUAAAGGAGUUGCACGAAGAAGUUUUGUCUGAAAGACCACGAUCAAGCAUGGCUGACAAGGAUGCAUACAUCAGUGCCCUGGAGCAGAAGUUGGCUGAACUGUCUGGCAUUGAAGUAGAUCAAUAAAAAAGAAUCAGGCUCGCAAAUGCUGCCGACGAGGCCCGUGUCAUUGGCGAAAUGGCCGCUUACGUUGCCAGCAUCACUGUUCAGCGAGCCGCCGAUGCCCAAGUAGGACUUGUCAGCCCCCAGAUUGCCGAAAUUUAUUCCCAUAUCAAUGCUGAACUGAGUGAGGCCCGUGGUGCUCACGUUCUUCCUCCCCUGAAAUACGACUACAAUGCAUUGGAGCCUCACAUUUCUGGUACCAUCAUGGAAAUCCAUCACACCAAACAUCACCAAGCGUAUAUCAACAACCUUAAAGCUGCAACGGAUAAGUUGAUAGAUGCUGAACAGAACAAUGAUGUAAAUGCCAUGAAUGCACUGUUACCUGCCAUCAAGUUCAACGGAGGUGGUCACCUGAACCACACCAUCUUCUGGACCAACAUGAGCCCAAGUGGAGGUGGAGAACCAAGUGGAUCAGUUGCUGAUGCCAUUAAUGCUGAAUUUGGCUCAUUUCAGGCAUUUAAGGAUAAGUUUUCUGCCGCUAGUGUGGGUGUGAAAGGUUCUGGUUGGGGCUGGCUUGGCUACUGUCCUAAAAACGACAAAGUUGCCGUUGCCACUUGCCAAAACCAGGACCCCCUUCAGCUUACACAUGGAUUGGUACCACUCCUUGGACUGGAUGUAUGGGAGCACGCUUACUAUCUACAGUACAAGAACCUGAGGGCUGACUACGUCAAAGCUUUCUUCAAUGUGAUCGACUGGUCUAACGUAAACGACCGCUACGAAAAUGCCCGCAAGGCCGCUGGACACUGACUUCUCUAUACUGAACAAUACCUUAUAACUAACAAAGGCCUUUCUCACCUGUAAGUCGUUACCAUUGGCGACCUAGUGAUAUUGGAAUAUUCCAACCUAAAUAUAAAAGGUACUCAAUGUGCUAUACCUGAUAAAUUUUUUCCUUCGGUUUUUUUGUUUUUGUUUGUAGAUGAUAUAUUGUAGCAAUUAUUGUUUUGUACCAGUGGUCAUGUUUCUUUUGUCUGUAUUAGUCUCUGAAAGUUCGUCUUUCAUGGAAUAUGGUUCUUGAGAAUCACAAGUAUAUAUAUCUU